rnacentral:rRNA from 1 species
GACGAACGCUGGCGGCGCGCCUAACACAUGCAAGUCGAACGGAGCUUGCUUGUCAGAUUCUUUCGGGAUGACGACUUGUAAGCUUAGUGGCGAACGGGUGAGUAACACGUGAGUAACCUGCCCCAGAGUGGGGGACAACAGUUGGAAACGACUGCUAAUACCGCAUAAGCCCACAGCUCGGCAUCGAGCAGAGGGAAAAAGGAGUGAUCCGCUUUGAGAUGACCUCGCGUCUGAUUAGCUAGUUGGCGGGGUAACGGCCCACCAAGGCGACGAUCAGUAGCCGGACUGAGAGGUUGGCCGGCCACAUUGGGACUGAGACACGGCCCAG